rnacentral:lncRNA from 1 species
GGGCCCUUGGCAAUGCCAGGAGAACAGAAAGGGCCUCUCAGACUGCACUAGCUACUUCAGUCUGGGCCAGGCCAGGCCAGGCUGGGCCCUGGAGAUCUCUGAAGUAAAACCCCAAGAAGGCAGGCUUGCUCUGUCUGUCUGUCUGUCUGUCCGUCUGUCUGCCUGUCUGCCUGUCUGUCUCUGGUUGUUACUCCUGCUAUCGAGGCUCCUGCAGUAACAGCUAACAGGCUGUGGAAUGAAUUCACCACCGAGAACUUCUUGGCCAGGGCUGGAGAAAGGGUCGCCUCAAAGGAAGAGACAGGACUCAAUCCCGGGAAGAUUCCUACCUCCAGACUAACACUUGGAAGAUAAAGAAUGAGGGAGCUGACAACCUUGUUGCAGAAUUCUGCCCAGCACUGACAGCCUCAGCGCCCACCCUCUGCUUCUCAGGAUGACCCUGGGAGCACCUGAGUUUUUUUUUGCUCGGUGAGGAAACCCUUGGGUUUCAGAGUAUCUCCUGGUGGCACACUGGGAAAGACUUUUAAAGCUGGAAUUAAAAAACCAAACCAAACCAAACCAAACCAAACCAAACUGAAACAAAAAGAAAAACAAACCAUUCAUCUGAUCCAUGGUGCUGUUGCCUGGCUAGGGCAAGCCUGCGUGCGGGGCGGGGCGGGGUGGAGUGAAGGGGAAUCAGAGGAGGUCAGACCUUCAGUU